UCUACAUCUCAUGUCAGGUUUAUGUUUGUGACCCCCCACUGACAAACUAAUGGGUGAGCCGUUGCCUCUCUGCCUGAGCUGAUGUGCUGUCUUGAAAGGAGCUACAUGGUGGACUAAGCCUGCAGGGAUGCAAUUGAAACGGUAUCAAAUGCUGUUGCUAGCAGACACCGGUUGUGGUCCACGGAUUGGGUGGAGAAGGAGAAGAAAGUGAUGUGUGCCAGAACUGACUUCAGACCGGAGUUAAGGAGCAACAGAGAGAUUUGAUUGAUGCUCGGAACGUAUGUGAAACAGGCCUGUUGAAAAUAUGCAUAAUAAUAAAAAAUAAUGAGGACAAAGAGACGAUUCAAACAC